rnacentral:rRNA from 1 species
ACCGGCGCACGGGUGAGUAACACGUAUCCAACCUGCCCUUUACUCGGGGAUAGCCUUUCGAAAGAAAGAUUAAUACCCGAUAGCAUAAUGAUUCCGCAUGGUUUCAUUAUUAAAGGAUUCCGGUAAAGGAUGGGGAUGCGUUCCAUUAGGUUGUUGGUGAGGUAACGGCCCACCAAGCCUUCGAUGGAUAGGGGUUCUGAGAGGAAGGUCCCCCACAUUGGAACUGAGACACGGUCCAAACUCCUACGGGAGGCAGCAGUGAGGAAUAUUGGUCAAUGGGCGUUAGCCUGAACCAGCCAAGUAGCGUGAAGGAUGAAGGCUCUAUGGGUCGUAAACUUCUUUUAUAUAAGAAUAAAGUGCAGUAUGUAUACUGUUUUGUAUGUAUUAUAUGAAUAAGGAUCGGCUAACUCCGUGCCAGCAGCCGCGGUAAUACGGAGGAUCCGAGCGUUAUCCGGAUUUAUUGGGUUUAAAGGGAGCGUAGGUGGACUGGUAAGUCAGUUGUGAAAGUUUGCGGCUCAACCGUAAAAUUGCAGUUGAUACUGUCAGUCUUGAGUACAGUAGAGGUGGGCGGAAUUCGUGGUGUAG